CAAAGCUCUAGGGGAUUAUAAAAUUUCAUGCUCUUGUAAUAAAAAGGAUAAAGGAUUGGCCAGAAGACUACUAAAAGUUAAAAUAAAUGAACAUAAAGGAGAUGAAAAAGUCUGACAUGAGUGUGACCACUAAUGUGUAAAGACUAAAGAGAUGGUAUUAAAGUGUUAGAGGCUGGAAUUAAAUGCAAAAUGAAUUCUGGUGGUAGAUUAAUAGAAAGUUAUAAAG
rnacentral:lncRNA from 1 species